rnacentral:lncRNA from 1 species
UGUUGCUGUACCCGGCGGCCUUGUCUGCCAGCCGGUCUCCCCAAGGCGCGCCAUUGUCUUUGAGCCACUGCAGCGUCUCUGUGUCGCCCUCCCUCACGGCCGUCGCCGUCGUGAGGGUGUCCCAAGGACAUCCACUGGCGCGCAGAUACUUGAUGACGUGGAGGUGGCCGCCAUAGGCCGCGUCGUAGCACAAACUGGCAUCCCACACGCACUUGUCAUUCUCCCUGGCCCAUUGUAGAAUAUUGACGUGGCCGUUCCUCGCCGCGUCGUUGCAUGUAUCUUCAUUCCAUGGGCAUCCAUUGGCGACGAGCCACUGCAGGACCUCCAGGCGACCUUGGGAAGCAGCUGCCAGACAAGUUUCGCUGCUCCACGGGCAGCCAUUCGCAUGCGCCCACCGCAGCACAUCGAGGUGGCCGCCGCAGGCCGCGUCGAAACACGUCCACUCGUCCCACGGGCACCCGUUGGCGCGCGCCCACUGGAGCAUCUCGAGGUGGCCUCUGCGGGCCGCUCCAGAGCAGGUGUCGGUGUCCCACAUGCAACCGUUGGCGCGCGCCCACUUGAGCGCGUCGAGGUGGCCGCCCUCGGCCGCUUUGGCACACACAUAAUCUCCUAAAGGGCACCCGUUGGCCUUGAGCCAUUGCAGAAUGUGGACGUGGCCGCCCAGGGCCGCGCUGUCGUACGACGUGCAAUCCCAUGGACAUCUCCUGGCCGCGAGCCAUUGGAGCGCGUCGAGGUGGCCGCCGCCAGCCGCUGCCGCGCACGUCCGCGCGUCGCAGAUCGAACCGCUGUCGACCAACCACUGGAGCGUUUUCAAGUGGCCGUGUGCGGCCGCGUCGGCCGCCGCCGCUUUAUCCCACGGCGCGCCACUGGCUUUGAGCCACUGCAGGACGUGGAGAUGGCCCCCCGCAGCCGCGCGGCAGCAGACCCGCUCGCCCCAGGGGCAGCCUUUUGCGCGCAACCAUUGGAGCGCUUCGAGAUGGCCGCCCUCGGCUGCAGCAGCGCACGCGCUGCCCGGUCGUGUACAUCGAUCCUCAUCCCAGCGCCUUAUGGCUGUAUAGUCGCUUUCGGUGGCGGCAGCGUUGCCCCACGGGCACGCGCUCUUUUUGAGCCACCGCAGCACGCCGAGGUGGCCCCCCUUGGCCGCGCUGACGACGACAUCCCUGUCCCAUGGGCAGCCGUUGGCGGCGAGCCACUGCGACACGCCGAGAUGGCCCGCGCCGGCGGCCGCGCUACAUGUGCCCUCGGCCCACGGACAACCAUGGCUCGUGGCCCACUCGAGCACCGUCAAAUGGCCCCUGGUCGCCAGGAGCGCGCUGUAGGCGCCCGCGAUGGACGGCGCCGGCGGCGCGCAAUACGUCCUCCAGCGGCGAUUGACCCAGCGCGCGGCCACGGCGUCUACGGGAUCAACGUGGCUCAAAAUGGCCCAGAGAAUCUCGUCGGGUACGGGCAGGUCCAAUGCGCCGACAGCCUCGUCGCACUCUUGGACGCUGGUGCCGUCGUUUGUGUCUACGACACAGAUGUUUGCUGCCAUCGGGCAGAGGGUUUUGUCAAUAGGCGAUGAUGAGUGUUGCCGUCUUUGCCGUCUUCUCCUUUUUUUGCUUUGGUGGGUAUCGUCGCGCGCGACACAGAACCCAACACACGUAGCAUGCACAAAAAAGGCGUUGCAAUCUCUCUGGUCCCUCCAUAAAGACGACAGAAGUGACACGUUUUUUUCGUAUUUCAAUGUUUUUAAUUGGGCCACGUGCCGCACUCG